rnacentral:rRNA from 1 species
GUCGAAGGGGGCUAGCGUUGUUCGGAAUUACUGGGCGUAAAGCGUGUGUAGGUGGUUGUCCAAGUUGGAUGUGAAAGCCUUGAGCUCAACUCAAGAAAUGCAUUCAGGACUGGGCGGCUAGAGGACCGGAGAGGAUAGUGGAAUUCCCAGUGUAGUGGUGAAAUACGUAGAGAUUGGGAAGAACACCAGUGGCGAAGGCGGCUAUCUGGACGGUUUCUGACACUAAGACUCGAAAGCGUGGGGAGCAAACAGG